rnacentral:rRNA from 1 species
ACUACGGGUGGCAGCAGUGGGGAAUAUUGCACAAUGGGGGAAACCCUGAUGCAGCGACGCCGCGUGAGUGAAGAAGUAUGUCGGUAUGUAAAGCUCUGUCAGCAGGGAAGAAAAUGACGGUACCUUACCAAGAAGCCCCGGCUAACUACGUGCCCGCAGCCGCGGUAAUACAGGGGGCAAGCGUUAUCCGGAUUUACUGGGAGUAAAGGGAGCGUAGACGGCAGGGCAAGUCUGGAGUGAAAGGCGGGGGCUCAACCCCCGGACUGCUCUGGAAACUGCCAGGCUGGAGUGCAGGAGAGGUAAGUGGAAUUCCUGGUGUAGCGGUGAAAUGCGUAGAUAUUAGGAGGAACACCAGUGGCGAAGGCGGCUUACUGGACUGUAACUGACGUUGAGGCUCGAAAGCGUGGGGAGCAAACAGGAUUAGAUACCCCUGUAGUC